rnacentral:rRNA from 2 species
UGCAAGUCGAGCGAACUGAUUAGAAGCUUGCUUCUAUGACGUUAGCGGCGGACGGGUGAGUAACACGUGGGCAACCUGCCUGUAAGACUGGGAUAACUCCGGGAAACCGGAGCUAAUACCGGAUAACAUUUUCUCUUGCAUAAGAGAAAAUUGAAAGAUGGUUUCGGCUAUCACUUACAGAUGGGCCCGCGGUGCAUUAGCUAGUUGGUGAGGUAACGGCUCACCAAGGCAACGAUGCAUAGCCGACCUGAGAGGGUGAUCGGCCACACUGGGACUGAGACACGGCCCAGACUCCUACGGGAGGCAGCAGUAGGGAAUCUUCCGCAAUGGACGAAAGUCUGACGGAGCAACGCCGCGUGAGUGAUGAAGGCUUUCGGGUCGUAAAACUCUGUUGUUAGGGAAGAACAAGUACAAGAGUAACUGCUUGUACCUUGACGGUACCUAACCAGAAAGCCACGGCUAACUACGUGCCAGCAGCCGCGGUAAUACGUAGGUGGCAAGCGUUAUCCGGAAUUAUUGGGCGUAAAGCGCGCGCAGGCGGUUUCUUAAGUCUGAUGUGAAAGCCCACGGCUCAACCGUGGAGGGUCAUUGGAAACUGGGGAACUUGAGUGCAGAAGAGAAAAGCGGAAUUCCACGUGUAGCGGUGAAAUGCGUAGAGAUGUGGAGGA